GAUGAACGCUAGCUACAGGCUUAACACAUGCAAGUCGAGGGGCAGCAUUUUAGUUUGCUUGCAAACUAAAGAUGGCGACCGGCGCACGGGUGAGUAACACGUAUCCAACCUGCCGAUAACUCGGGGAUAGCCUUUCGAAAGAAAGAUUAAUAUCCGAUAGUAUAUUAAAACCGCAUGGUUUUACUAUUAAAGAAUUUCGGUUAUCGAUGGGGAUGCGUUCCAUUAGUUUGUUGGCGGGGUAACGGCCCACCAAGACAACGAUGGAUAGGGGUUCUGAGAGGAAGGUCCCCCACAUUGGAACUGAGACACGGUCCAAACUCCUACGGGAGGCAGCAGUGAGGAAUAUUGGUCAAUGGACGAGAGUCUGAACCAGCCAAGUAGCGUGAAGGAUGACUGCCCUAUGGGUUGUAAACUUCUUUUAUAUGGGAAUAAAGUAUUCCACGUGUGGGAUUUUGUAUGUACCAUAUGAAUAAGGAUCGGCUAACUCCGUGCCAGCAGCCGCGGUAAUACGGAGGAUCCGAGCGUUAUCCGGAUUUAUUGGGUUUAAAGGGAGCGUAGGUGGAUUGUUAAGUCAGUUGUGAAAGUUUGCGGCUCAACCGUAAAAUUGCAGUUGAAACUGGCAGUCUUGAGUACAGUAGAGGUGGGCGGAAUUCGUGGUGUAGCGGUGAAAUGCUUAGAUAUCACGAAGAACUCCGAUUGCGAAGGCAGCUCACUAGACUGCAACUGACACUGAUGCUCGAAAGUGUGGGUAUCAAACAGGAUUAGAUACCCUGGUAGUCCACACAGUAAACGAUGAAUACUCGCUGUUUGCGAUAUACAGUAAGCGGCCAAGCGAAAGCAUUAAGUAUUCCACCUGGGGAGUACGCCGGCAACGGUGAAACUCAAAGGAAUUGACGGGGGCCCGCACAAGCGGAGGAACAUGUGGUUUAAUUCGAUGAUACGCGAGGAACCUUACCCGGGCUUAAAUUGCAUUUGAAUAAUCUGGAAACAGGUUAGCCGCAAGGCAAAUGUGAAGGUGCUGCAUGGUUGUCGUCAGCUCGUGCCGUGAGGUGUCGGCUUAAGUGCCAUAACGAGCGCAACCCUUAUCUUUAGUUACUAACAGGUCAUGCUGAGGACUCUAGAGAGACUGCCGUCGUAAGAUGUGAGGAAGGUGGGGAUGACGUCAAAUCAGCACGGUCCUUACGUCCGGGGCUACACACGUGUUACAAUGGGGGGUACAGAAGGCAGCUACCUGGCGACAGGAUGCUAAUCCCAAAAACCUCUCUCAGUUCGGAUCGAAGUCUGCAACCCGACUUCGUGAAGCUGGAUUCGCUAGUAAUCGCGCAUCAGCCAUGGCGCGGUGAAUACGUUCCCGGGCCUUGUACACACCGCCCGUCAAGCCAUGAAAGCCGGGGGUACCUGAAGUACGUAACCGCAAGGAGCGUCCUAGGGUAAAACUGGUAAUUGGGGCUAAG
rnacentral:rRNA from 1 species